GCCAGAUGCCAUGGUGCACAUCUGUAGUCCCAGCUGCUUGGAUUAGGGGCUGAGGCAGGAGCUCCCUUGAGCCCAGGAGCUGGAGACAACCUGGGUAAUACAAGGAGACCCCAUCUCUU
rnacentral:sRNA from 1 species